AAACCGUUCAGGGGUAAACCUGAGAAACCCAAAAGAUCGAAUGAGGAGAUUCAUCGUCAGCACACCUAGUAUAUGUGCAAGUUAUGAUACGAGUUAUUAUUCUUGUAGUAAUGCUUGUACGUUCUUGUAUUAUUUUUGCUGGGAGUUGUCGGCGUGCACUUCUCCUCUAGUAGGACGUCGCGACCCGUUGGGUGUCGUUCUAUGACCCGGAUGGUAGCCUUUAUUUCUUUAUUGAUUUAAAGACCACUGGUGAUCUGAUCGGCUGCCCGGCGGUAUUCGCACGGUAUUGAGUCGCAAUAUAAUUUAUUUGCGUUGAGCCCGUUGCAAGCGCGGCCAUUCUCCCGGUAGUGCGGAUUUAAUGCCGUCAUUGGGGCUGGCCAGCUGUUGGUUGACGGUGUUCUUUAACUGGCUCAUUUAUUACCGGUCAGCGACGCUAUUGCUUUGGGUACUUUCAGGA
rnacentral:rRNA from 1 species